rnacentral:pre_miRNA from 1 species
GGCUCAAAUAUGAAGUGGAGUAGAUAAGUAAGCUCAGCUGAUCCCACUAUUCUACUCUACUCCAAAUUCGGGUCC